rnacentral:precursor_RNA from 1 species
ACCCUGUAGCUGCUAAGGGGCGCAGUUUUAAUACCUCCCCUUUGCUGCUACAUUGUAU